rnacentral:lncRNA from 1 species
CAGCUGCUUCCCAGUCGCAGCGCCGCCACCGAAGGGCGCCCUAGAUCUGCCGGCCAUCAGCGCGCCCCUCUUGCUCAGAAGGAGAUGGCUUCGUUGGUGCUCAGAUCCGCCGGCCGCGUGGUCCGGCGAUCCAUCCCGCAAGUGUCCUGUCGCCGGUCGCCCAUCUCCGGUUCCGCCGGGAACACCAAGCUCAACAAGGUAACCAGCCCCCUUGCACUUUCCUCUCCUCUAGGGUUUCGUUCAUCUGGCAAAUUAAUAAUCAGGUGUUCAUAGUUGUUAAAAAAAAAGAAUCAGCUGUUCAUCGUGAUUUUAAGCGACGUGAGCGUCGAUUGGUAACCAGCAAUGCUGUACCUUGUUGCUGGAGUAUGCAUCUGUCAACCUCCUAGAGAAGGAUCGGACUUUUACUCUAUAUGUCGUCGAAAGGCCUCUUUUUCCUAGUCUGAAAUGUUAUCCAAUAGCGAGGACCCCCUCUCAGUGUAGGCACAAGCGCCCUCUCCGUGAAAAAGUGUGCACUUCUCAUUAUGUCUUAGAUGGUCUCGGUUAGCUAUUAUCCUAGGUAGUGGUUAUUCCUCACGUAGAUAACUAGUCUUUUGAUUUAGAGAUGGAUUAAUGUGAGAGGCAACCAAUUGAUAUACUUUUAUUUACUAGUGGGUCACUGAAUACUGAAAACAUGAGAUUGCCAUGUUUUCCACUUUUGAAGCUUUCUGUAACACAUUAUUAGUGUAUUACAACUCUUUCUACUUUAUUGAGCUAUGCAUUGGACUGCAAUUGUUUAGAAUUUUGGAAUUUGAACCUAGAAGCUCUGUGAGCCUGUGACGUACUUGAUGCUGUCCCCUGGAAAAAAACCUGAUUUAAACCUUUUCAAGUUUCUCGUUUCUGCAAUUCCAAAAAUAUAUGGUGUAAAGUCAGUGUACUAGCAUUAGAGGAAGAAAUAAGUAACUACAGUAACAACCAAAUAUUCCAAAGGAAUAAAUUGGUACAAUAUCGCAAUGUGCAAAUGCUCCUGGUGAUCAUCCCAUAGGCACAAGUCCCCUGUCCAUGAAAACGUGUGCACUUCUCAUUAUGUCUUAGAUAAUCUCGUUAGUUAUUAUCCCAGGUAGUGGUUAUGCCUCACGUAGAUAACUGGUCUUUGGAUUUAGAGGUGGAUUAAUGUGAGGGGCAACCACUUGAUAUACUUUUACUAAUGAUUCACUAAAUACUGAACAUAUGAGAUUUCCAUGUUUUCCACUUUUGAAGCUUUCUGUAACACAUUAUUAGUGCGUUACCACUCUUUCUACUUUAUUGAGCUAUGCACUAAACUGCAAAUGUUUAGAAUUUUAAUACUCCUACUACAUUUUUGAAUAUGAACCUAGUUGCUCUGUGAACCUGUGACAUACUUGAUGCCGUCCUCUGGAAACAACCUCAUUUUUACCUGUUCAAGUUUCUUGUUUCUGGAAUUCCAAAAAUAUAUAGUGUAAAUUCAGUGCACUAGCGUUAGAGGAAGAAAUGUGGAACUAAUAGCCAACUAUUCUAAAGGAAUAAAUGGGCUAGAUUGCAAUUUGCAAAUGCUCCUAGUGAUCAUCCCAUAGCUUAUAAUUUGAAAUUGAAGACAAAAACCAAAGUUAACUUACAAUUAGCUGUGUUAUGAAACUUGGGCUCAUACUUCACAAUCAUGUGUUCAUUAUACACAAUUCUUUAGGGAAAAUUACUCUUGUGGUCGUAGCAUUCCUUUUGGAACACUUACAAACAGACCGCCCUCCAAAAAUACACCUAUUAUUAUCAUUUGUUUGAAGUUUAACCCACAUGCGUUUCUUGAGCGAGCCAUCUCCCUCUCAACUUAACAAGGAUGCACCAAUGAGUAGUUGCAAGGUAGCAAAAGGUAUCAGACCGGGAGGCAAUUAUGCAAAGUGAAGGAAUAAACAAAAACAAAUGCACUUGUAACAAAUGCACGUCUUGUAUCGUACAGAUAAAAACAGAGGUCAGGCCUUUCAGCUAGCUAAGAGCAUGCACCAUCUCGUCUCCAUUUCUCUCUCUUCACCCACAGCUCCAGCCAAUUUGUAAUGUCUGACAAUUUACAAGGCUAGACCUGCUUCUGGUCAUUUCAGUUGGUACCACCUUUACAGGUGCAGCCGACUUCAUCCACGUUAGCAGCAGACAGAAAUCAGAACAUUUUAUACUAUGAUGAUGCACACUAGAACAUCACGUGCUGUAGGGAAGAGAAAACAAGAAGCAUGAAUCAAAUGUAAAGCAAGUAGUCUUCUUUCUUGUGCAUGCAACCACCAAGAGCUCCAGGAUGCUCUCAAACCAUGUGAACCAAGCCUUCCUUCUGACACCUCACAGUAGACUGCAUGGAAAAUGCUGAUAAAAAAAACACUGUUCUCUGUUACUUGCCACACAAAUACGCUGUUCUUCAGAGGGAUCCCACCGAUUCCUGAGCUUAUAUAGGAGAUAUGCCACCGAUUCUGUUACUAACACUCAUUCACACUAACCUUCUGGUCCUCAAGUCACUUGAAACGCUUGGGAAUUUCAGUUUUAAGGGAAUCUUGCUGUUCCAAGUGUAUUGACAAAAUGUGUUUUCUUAUCCAUUCCCGACCUGAUAAAUAGCACCUCAAUUGAAGCAGUGUUCAGUCUUUGCAGUCCAUUCCAGAGAUUGGAUUGACCCUCAAGUAAGUAUUUAUUACGAAACUCAGAAUCCCAUGCCUACCUAACCACUUCUGGUGUUAAAAAAACAUGUUAGUCCUAAGUUUCCAGCCACAACAUCUGACAGAAGCUGAAACGGAAAUAGGGUUGCAAUCUUUUCUCAUUUCUGGCAAAUCUCUCCGUCUUUCGAAAGUUUCUUGAGUUUGCACUUGGAAAUAAAUAUUAGUGUGAUGCCAAACAUAUACAUGAAAAAACCGCUGCACAGUUGAAUUCUUUUAACCGAAUGUCUUCUUUAGCUGUAAGCAGUUGCCUGGUGUAUAGUGAACUCAUUACAAUACCUUGCAAGUUUCUUAUGAAUAAAUAGUUUGAGCCAAAAAAAGCUACUCCCUUUAUGCGGGUUUGUAAGGCGGCACGGGUUUCUAGGUCUUCAGUUUGACUAGCAAAAUGUGUGCUAUAUGCCAUUAAAAAAUAUAUUGGAUUCAUUGUCGAUGAAGUUUCUAGACAUAUACUCCUUUUAAGCAUAUUACACACAUUACGUUAGUCAAAUUGAAGACAUGAAAACCCAUGCCCGCCUUACAAAUCUGGAUGGAGGGCUAGGAUAACAUUGAGGGACACGACCUGAUGCUAUGGAGAAAAGAAAAGUUAAUUUCCAUGCUCGCUUUCUAAUUGUUUGAUGUGUGCACAGUACUCCACCUCAUCCUCGGGUCAGCAGGUGAGUAAGGUGAACGAGGUGAACUAUGAGGACCUUAUUGAGGAGAAGAGCAAAGAGCUGACUCGUGUCGUAGGUGAACUGAAGAAAGAAUUUAAAGAACUCGAGUUGGUGUUGGAGAAAAAUGACGCCCGUGCCAGAAGGUAAAAUUCAUUGUCCUAGAUGUAUAUGCACGUUUAUAGGUGCGCAUUUAUCUGGUUAUCCUGAUCGUGUUGUUUUUGCUUACAGGCUCGCUAUGCAGAGACCAUUCAAGAUGUUAGCUGGUGCCACAGUUGGUUUUCUCCUUGGCUUUCAUACUCACAAGUACAUUAGUGACUGAGUCGUUAGGGGCAGAGAGAGAGAGAGAGAGAGAGAGAGAGAGAGAGAGAGAGAGAGAGAGAUCAGCAGGAGACCUCUAUUUUGCUGCUAAUCCAUGUGAACUUUGUGUUACCUAAUGCCUAAUGCCUUGUAGAUGUUGGACUGUACUCGAUCUCGUCAGGAACUUGAGUAAGCAUCCGGCAAUGUUUAUCACUUCGUUUAGGGGGAUGAAAGGCAGCAAGUUACUAUCGUUUAACUCACACUUGAAUCCGGAAGCACCAUAAAAAUUGCUUGGGCAUAAUCAUACGUGCAAGAUUGAACUAGGUACUCAUGAUCAUUUGAUUUACAAAUAAUCAGAAUUUCCA